UGAUUUUAUUUUCUCUGAGAUGAAAGAAGGGUUUGAGGGGUAGUCUCUUUGUCCACCCUAGCCUCCUGUUCCUCAAAGGUCCCCUCGUACUGGGGGUUUGGUGGAGGAGACUGUGUAACCCUAGUUUCC